UUUACAAAAAAGUUGAAUAAAUUAUGUUUGCCCUACACACCCAAUUUAAAAUUUGUGCCACUUCACAAGAUGAGAGUGGAUCCCAAAAUGAUUAUGCAGUGAUUGGAUUUGAGCAUGAGCAUGAUGUAUUAAGUUACUUUAAGAUUGCUUCUUCCACAUUGGAGGAAAGGAAGAAUUAAUUAAGGCAUCGGUAUAGAAAGGGACAAAUAGAUGGAGGGAUUAUGCAUAUUCUAUGCUAAGAUUACACAGACAAUUUAUUAGUGCCUAACUUGGAUAAAUAAGAUAAGCCGAUAAUUAUGUUAGAAAAUGACAUACAGAAGAUCGACAAACACAUUUGUUGGGACCACAAACCAGGAUUCUCAACAUAAGAAGUAUUUCAUCAUCAUAAUUGCUUUUUUCAUCAAUUCCUUUAUUUGUCUCAAUGGGAUUUUUGCAAUCACUUCGUUCUGUUUGUGGUCAAAAUGUGGCGUUUCUGCACAAAAUUGGAAGCCUCGUUAUGCCCAACCAGAUUGUGUCCUUUUCUUUAUCUUUGCAAAACAUCAUUUCAUUGGGCAACUUUUAAGUUUGAUCCCAAUGUGAAUAAUGAAUUUACAUAUGUAGAUUUUGUGCAUAAAGUUGUUGGACAUGUUGUAGCGCUAUUAAUGUUUAUGAAUUGGGAAUUCUACAAAUAUCCCAUUGUUUCAUACUUUCAUAUGAUUUGAAGUGGGGUGAUGAUAAUGUCUCUUUUCAAAGAUUUAGAGACUUUCUAAAGAAGAUAUGUCUCACAUUGUGACCAUACAAUUGGAUAUAUAAGCUAUAACCUAUAACCCUACAAUGUGGGUUAAACAUCUAAUAUUUUCUCCAAUUCCCUUCAUUUGUUGAUAACUUCCUAGGCUGUUGUCUAAUUUUUAUUUUAGGGAUAUACAUUAAGCAUUGGACCUCUUUCUGUUUUCAGUUAAUGAUUCUAGUGCACAGAAUGACUGGAAAGGUGCUUGGUGGCAUAGCAGCUUUACAGUUCACUCAGGUAAUCCUUUUACUGUUCAAAAAGAAAAGUAAAAUGUCCUAUCAAUUAACUAUCGUCCGAAGCUGAUUUUAGACUGAAAUAUUGGUUGGUAGUGGAAUGAAUCCCGAAAUCUCUCCAUAUAAUUAGCUAAACAAUCAUGUAAUCAUUUAUUUAUCUCAAAUAUGAUUUCACAUCCGAUUCUUAACGAUAUUCAUACCAAAGAAAUAUCUUCCAACGUAAUGUAGUUGCUACUAAUAGCGUCAAAGAUAAUUUGAAAAGUAAAUAUACCAAUAUAUGUACAAUAUGUUUUCUGGUAUUCACCAACUUUUUAAAUACCACUUUGCUGGGGUGGAGGAUGUUUGUUUUUUUGGGGUGAGUUCAUAACAUUAUUUUUUUAAUUUUUUUAUGGAAAUAGAUGUUUUCAAACUUUCUUCUUAUAAAUAUAAUAAUUAAUACAUAAUGUUAUUUUAGAAAGAAAUAAAUGCAUAAUAUGUAUAUAUAUUAUUAAGUAAAAAACUGAAAAUAUAAACCAUGAAUUGAAUGUUAUGCAUAUAGUAUGACAUAGAGCAUGUCCAUAAUACAUCAUUUAUGUCCUCGGGAAAUAUAUCGGCGGCAAUUUUUCAUGUGUAAUUGUUGAAAUUUGAGGCCUAACUCAUCCUUACAAAACCGGUUCUUAAGGUGAGGAGUGCCUCCACUUUAUAAACUUUUAUCAAGAGUCUUAUCGAUCUGAUGUGGGACUUGGGGUUUUUCCCAAUACACCCCCCUCACGUCCAGCACUCUUUGGGCUUGGUGCGUGGAUAGGUAGGUGGCCCUUGAAUUCGACAAGCUCUGAUACCAUGUUGAAAUUUGAGGCCUAACGCAUCCUUACAAAACCGGUUCUUAAGGUGAGGAGUGCCUCCUCUUUAUAAACUUUUAUCAAGAGUCUUAUCUAUCUGAUGUGGGACUUGGGUUUUUCCCAAUAGUAAUUACCUGCUGCUUUCAAUAAUUUAUAAUAUAAUUAGUGCUGUUCCAACUAGGUAGGUUAAUGUAAUUCCCACUAAGGGCCAAAAGUUUAGUGAUCCAUAAAAGAAGGAUGACGACUGGUUUGUUUCUUAUGGAUUCAUUUAUCCACAAUAUUUUCCUUUUAUAAUUAAUUUAGAAAAACCCAUUUUUUCAUCCUUGAUGGAUAUUGAGUCUCUCAAUGCUUCAAAGUAUCAUAAAUUAAAACAGUCUUUGUUGGAUUGAAGGAGAAUCUAAUACUGGGCUAACUUUCACUCCACUCCAAUAGAAUGGGGAAAUGAGCUGAAGUAGAUAGUGUAAGGGAGCUCUAAUUUUGCAUUAUUUAGAGACUAUAACGAUGAUGUUUUACAUUAUUUAAAGACUAAAUUGAUGUGAAAAAUACUUGGUGAGCCAAAAUGAAUGAACUCUGUAUUAUUAAGGGAGUAAAUUGAUGACCAAAUCCUUGUUAUUACUAAAUUGACGAUACAUGUAUGUGGAGGACAAAAGUAAGGGUUUUUUCUAUUUUUUAUGUUAAAGCAUAUUAUGGAUUCUGUUGCAAGUUGCAACCCGAUAUAUGAUAUUAAAAUUGGCCUUAGUCGGAGCACCUUAAAUAUGAGCUUUCUGCAUUGUUCUACCCUAUCAUUUAGUUAUUCUGGAUCAUUUUGCUGUAAACUACUACUCACAUGUUUCUCUAAUAACAGGUUUUGUAAAGGAUGAGAACCCUUAUGCAGAAAAUGGAAAAAAGGGCACAUAUUUUUUUGAAUUCUCUAGGCCUUUGAGGACUAUGGAUCAUCUGCAACAGGUUAGAAGUUAGAAACCUUUAUGAUGCAUUUUGAAGAGUUUUAUUUGUUUAGAGAUUACGUUGAUCUUUCCUCUUAUGUUUGAAUCCCUAUUUUGAAUUAACUGAGUUCUUGGUCUGUCAAAUUCUUCUAUAUAACACGUGGACUACAUAUGAACUUCAUUAUUUAUUAAUCAUAAUGAAUUCUGGCAUAGAGUGCCCCAAGUCACAUAAUAAACUACAAUUUUGUAUUUCUGAUAUUAUGGAUCUAUGCUAUUUUGUCGAACAGUUUUGGGCUUUUGGCUUUGGAUAAGAUAUCUUCUACCGGUUUGUUUUGCAAUACCUUCUUUACAAAGGAAACUUGCCUUCAUAAGAAAUAUUUCUCCGCCAUGCCCAAUAGCUAAAACUAACAAACUUUAAAGUGCCGUCUUUUUUAGUUUUAGUUUAGGUUUAAAUAUGACUUUAGUCCUUGCACUUUCAUCAGAUUUUGGCAUUGGUCCCUACACUUUUUUUUGUUUGGAAUUGGUCCCUGCACUUUGUAAAAAUAUUGGUAUUGGUCCCUCUAUUAACUUUCUGUUAAAAAAAAAACACAAAACUAUUGGUAUCGGUCCCUGCACUUUGUAAAAAUAUUGGUAUUGGUCCCUGCACUUUGUAAAAAUAUUGAUAUUGGUGUCACGUGGCGUGAAAUGAUUGGGCCACGUGGCACUCCGUUGGUUUUGUGUUUUUUUUUUUAACAGAAAGUUAACGGACCAAUACCAAUAUUUUUACGAAGUGCAGGGACCAAUGCCAAACAAAAAAAAAGUGCAGGGACCAAUGUCAAAAUCUGAUGAAAGUGCAGGGACCAAUGACACAUUUAAAACUAGUUUUUAUUUUUGUGAUAGUUGAAGUGGAGGGAAUAAAUCAUAAAGUUCUUCUCAAAUAUAAUGUUUAUGUUUCAACCUAAUUCUUCAUAUGCAAAGAUUCAUUUUAUAGCUUUGUGAGAACUCAAAACCAACACAUGAUGCAAACACGCAUGAAUGUCAUUUAUGCGAUAACAAACAAUUAAAAUCAUGCAAAUUUAUACCUUACAGGAUGUGCAAUUCACCAUUGGCGGAACAAGCAAGAUGUCUGUCGGAUUCUGGUAUCCAGUAGACGGUAAGCCAUGGCGCGGUUCCGGACACU
rnacentral:lncRNA from 1 species